AAACAAAGAAGUGGAAAAAUGGUGAUUUCAUUUGUAAAAGAGAUGGACAAAAUGAUAAUUUCUCUUAUUUUUAAAUGCAGACCUACUAUUACAGAUUAAAAGAUUUUUUUGAAAUAAAAUAAAAUCAUGAGUGAUAUUAUUAAUAUAAAUUGAAGUUAAAGGAUAUAAACAAGACAACUUAAUAAAUUAAGGGACUAUAAAUGAAAUUAGCCAAAAUUUGGCAUUUGAAAUCAAAUGGGGUGGUACAACACAAACAAACACAAACAG
rnacentral:misc_RNA from 1 species